UACGAAGGGGGCUAGCGUUGCUCGGAAUCACUGGGCGUAAAGCGCACGUAGGCGGAUUGCUAAGUCAGGGGUGAAAUCCUGGAGCUCAACUCCAGAACUGCCUUCGAUACUGAGAGUCUUGAGUCCGGGAGAGGUGAGUGGAACUGAGAGUGUAGAGGUGAAAUUCGUAGAUAUUCGCAAGAACACCAGUGGCGAAGGCGGCUCACUGGCCCGGUACUGACGCUGAGGUGCGAAAGCGUGGGGAGCAAACAGG
rnacentral:rRNA from 1 species